rnacentral:rRNA from 1 species
GUCCACGCCCUAAACGAUGAUAACUUAGUGUUGGGAGUAAUCCCAGUGCUGAAGCUAACGCGAUAAGUUAUCCACCUGAGGAGUACGGUCGCAAGAUUAAAACUCAAAGGAAUAGACGGGGACCCACACAAGCAGUGGAUCACGUGGUUUAAUUCGACAAUAAACGGGGAACCUUACCCAGACUUGACAUCUAUAGAAUCUUGCGGAAACGUGAGAGUGCCCGUAAGGGAGCUAUAAGACAGGUGCUGCAUGGUUGUCGU